UAAGAACCACUGGUUGAGGUAUCUAAUUGGAAGUCUGAUUCCCCAUUGUGUCUCCUGUGAGCAGAGCCAGCCUGUGGUUUCAUUCCAAAGAGCAAGCAUAAAACGGUACAUGGUAAAUUCAAGAUACAUAGAUGAGGAAAACUACAUGCUUUGUUAAAGAUAUGUCUUUCAUCAUUUGAGGGACUCUCCAAAGACGUGAUAAAUAUAUCAUCCAGUUUGACCCUUAGUUUCUUUGAAAGAGGCUGUAAUUGGAUUGCUCUUGAACAAACCUAAUUUAGAUCCAGAAGAUAUGGACAAUUGCAAGUUUGUUAUUAACACGCCCUUGUUGGGAAAAAUGUCUAGCGUGGGUGACCUUGGCCUGCUUCAGUUAAACUUCAUGCCCAGGUUUGAAAUAGUGGAGAGAGGCAGUGUCUGGGUGGUUUUGGGUGUCUCGGCUCAUUUUAAUACUCUUUAGUGUGGGUUUUGGAUAUACUGUUGGAGUUGGGUGUUGGUGGUACCAUAUGGCACUACCUUCCCAUUUGGAUGAUGGAUUCUAGAACAUGGCAAUGGAGAAUUGCUCUCUUCCUUAACAAUUGUUCUAUGGUGUUCUACAAGUUUCUAUUUUAUCACCUAGAUCUACAUGGAACAAGUCAGAAUGUUUAUGUGCAGAAAUGAAGUGUCAGAAUUCGAGUCAGAGCAGCUUCAUGCAAACUGCCUUGGGAAUUUCUAUUUGAAAGGUAAUAUAAGAAUUUUUGUAAUGGAUAAAUAUAAAAUGGGUAGUUAUAUUGCACAGAAGCCUGAUCGCUAAGGAGAUCGAUGCCCUUUUAUAUUUUGAAAGGCAGAUAAUAUACAAAAUAAGUGUCACCCUUGUAUUUUUAUAAUUCUAACAAAUAAAAUGUACCAAUAUGAAGGAUAGGUGGGUAUU
rnacentral:lncRNA from 1 species